rnacentral:misc_RNA from 1 species
AAGUCGUAACAAGGUUUCCGUAGGUGAACCUGCGGAAGGAUCAUUAGUAAACGCCCUCACCGGCUCAACUAUCCAACCAACCUCUGUGCAAUGUCGUCUUCGGACGCACAACAACAAACUACAACAGUCAAGAACGUAUCAAACAAAAACGAAACACAACUUUCAACAACGGAUCUCUUGGCUCUC